rnacentral:rRNA from 1 species
AUUCUAAGGCCAACGGGAGAAGGGUUGUUAAGGAACUCGGCAAAUUGACCCCGUAACUUCGGGAGAAGGGGUGCUCCAGAGAUGGAGCCGCAGAGAAUCGGCCCAAGCAACUGUUUACCAAAAACACAGGUUUGUGCUAAAUCGAAAGAUGACGUAUACGAGCUGACGCCUGCCCGGUGCUGGAAGGUUAAGAGGAGAUGUGCAAGCAUUGAAUCGAAGCCCCAGUGAACGGCGGCCGUAACUAUAACGGUCCUAAGGUAGCGAAAUUCCUUGUCAGGUAAGUUCUGACCCGCAUGAAAGGCGUAAUGAUUUGGGCACUGUCUCAACAGCCCGCCCGGCGAAAUUGUAGUACCGGUGAAGAUGCCGGUUACCCGCGACAAGACGGAAAGACCCCAUGGAGCUUUACUGUAGCCUAAUAUUGGGUUUCGAUGUUGCAUGCACAGGAUAGAUGGGACACAGGGAAACAAGUGCUUUGGCAUUUGUGGAGUGGCCGUUGGGAUACCAUCCUUGCGAUAUUGGAAUUCUAACCUGCGCCUUUGAAUCAAGGCGGGGGACAUUGUUAGGUGGGCAGUUUGACUGGGGCGGUCGCCUCCUAAAGAGUAACGGAGGCGUUCAAAGGUUCGCUCAGCUUGAACGGAAAUCAAGCAAAAGAGUGCAAACGCAGAAGCGAGCCUAACUGCGAGACUGACGGGUCGAGCAGUAACGAAAGUUGGAGUUAGUGAUCCGGUGGUAUGUGAGUGGAAAUGCCAUCGCUCAACGGAUAAAAGUUACCCUGGGGAUAACAGGCUGAUCUCCCCCAAGAGUCCACAUCGACGGGGAGGUUUGGCACCUCGAUGUCGGCUCAUCGCAUCCUGGGGCUGUAUUCGGUCCCAAGGGUUUGGCUGUUCGCCAAUUAAAGCGGUACGCGAGCUGGGUUCAGAACGUCGUGAGACAGUUCGGUCCCUAUCUGUCGUGGGCGCAGGAUAUUUGAUGGGAGCUGUUCCUAGUACGAGAGGACCGGAGCGGACGUACCUCUGGCGCACCAGUUGUUCUGCCAAGGGCAUAGCUGGGCAACUAUGUACGGAUCGGAUAAACGCUGAAAGCAUCUAAGCGUGAAGCCGACCCAAAGAUAAGAUAUCCCAUUGUUUCAAACAAGUAAGACCCCUUGAAGACUACAAGGUUGAUAGGCACGAUGUGUAAGUGGAGUGAUCCAUUCAGCAAGCGUGUACUAAUAGGUCGAGGGCUUGACCAC